rnacentral:tRNA from 1 species
GGGGGUAUAGCUCAAGUGGCAGAGCACAUGCUUAGCAUGCACGAGGUCCUGGGUUCAAUCCCCAGUACCUCCU